rfam:Camelus ferus unplaced genomic scaffold scaffold366, whole genome shotgun sequence.
GAGGGUAUAGCUCAGUGGUAGAGCGCAUGCUUAGCAUGCACAAGAUCCUGGGUUCGAUCCCUAGUACUGCCA